ensembl:processed_transcript
CUGUUUACUGGACUACUUUGGAGUCCAAUUAAACCUUCUAUCUGCUUUGAUGCAGGAACCAAGGUUGCUAGGAGAACACCUGUGCCCCCAGCACUUUGGUCCAGCAAGGGCAGGAGAGGAGAGCUGGAAACUGGUAGAGCUGUGCUACCUGCUACCUCCUGAGGCUCUCAGGGAGCGGGAGAAUCUGAACAUGAGUGGCAAGAGCUGGGUACUGAUCUCUACUACUUCGCCCCAGAGCCUGGAAGAUGAGAUUCUGGGACGGCUUCUGAAAAUUCUCUUCGUUUUGUUCGUUGACUUAAUGUCCAUUAUGUAUGUCAUCAUAACGUCCUAGCAACCUGACUUUCUUUACUCCGUGUGUAAGUUUCAAACUGAAUGCCAGCAAAUAAAGAUCUACAUUUUAAUCUG